rnacentral:tRNA from 1 species
GGGCCCUUAGCUCAGCUGGCUAGAGCGCUUCAUUGACGUUGAAGAGGUCACAGGUUCGAGUCCUGUAGGGCCCACCA